AGAGUUUGAUCAUGGCUCAGAUUGAACGCUGGCGGCAGGCCUAACACAUGCAAGUCGAGCGGUAGCACAGAGAGCUUGCUCUCGGGUGACGAGCGGCGGACGGGUGAGUAAUGUCUGGGAAACUGCCUGAUGGAGGGGGAUAACUACUGGAAACGGUAGCUAAUACCGCAUAAUGUCGCAAGACCAAAGUGGGGGACCUUCGGGCCUCAUGCCAUCAGAUGUGCCCAGAUGGGAUUAGCUAGUAGGUGGGGUAACGGCUCACCUAGGCGACGAUCCCUAGCUGGUCUGAGAGGAUGACCAGCCACACUGGAACUGAGACACGGUCCAGACUCCUACGGGAGGCAGCAGUGGGGAAUAUUGCACAAUGGGCGCAAGCCUGAUGCAGCCAUGCCGCGUGUGUGAAGAAGGCCUUCGGGUUGUAAAGCACUUUCAGCGGGGAGGAAGGCGAUGAGGUUAAUAACCUUGUCGAUUGACGUUACCCGCAGAAGAAGCACCGGCUAACUCCGUGCCAGCAGCCGCGGUAAUACGGAGGGUGCAAGCGUUAAUCGGAAUUACUGGGCGUAAAGCGCACGCAGGCGGUCUGUCAAGUCGGAUGUGAAAUCCCCGGGCUCAACCUGGGAACUGCAUUCGAAACUGGCAGGCUAGAGUCUUGUAGAGGGGGGUAGAAUUCCAGGUGUAGCGGUGAAAUGCGUAGAGAUCUGGAGGAAUACCGGUGGCGAAGGCGGCCCCCUGGACAAAGACUGACGCUCAGGUGCGAAAGCGUGGGGAGCAAACAGGAUUAGAUACCCUGGUAGUCCACGCCGUAAACGAUGUCGAUUUGGAGGUUGUGCCCUUGAGGCGUGGCUUCCGGAGCUAACGCGUUAAAUCGACCGCCUGGGGAGUACGGCCGCAAGGUUAAAACUCAAAUGAAUUGACGGGGGCCCGCACAAGCGGUGGAGCAUGUGGUUUAAUUCGAUGCAACGCGAAGAACCUUACCUGGUCUUGACAUCCACAGAACUUUCCAGAGAUGGAUUGGUGCCUUCGGGAACUGUGAGACAGGUGCUGCAUGGCUGUCGUCAGCUCGUGUUGUGAAAUGUUGGGUUAAGUCCCGCAACGAGCGCAACCCUUAUCCUUUGUUGCCAGCGGU
rnacentral:rRNA from 1 species